rnacentral:rRNA from 1 species
UAAAGCGCGCGCAGGCGCGCUAUUUAAGUCUGGUGUUUAAACCUUGGGCUCAACCUGAGGUCGCACUGGAAACUGGGUGGCUUGAGUACAGAAGAGGAAAGUGGAAUUCCACGUGUAGCGGUGAAAUGCGUAGAGAUGUGGAGGAACACCAGUGGCGAAGGCGACUUUCUGGGCUGUAACUGACGCUGAGGCGCGAAAGCGUGGGGAGCAAACAGGAUUAGAUA